CGGACGGGUGAGUAACGCGUGAGAAUCUGGCUUCAGGUCUGGGACAACCACUGGAAACGGUGGCUAAUACCGGAUGUGCCGAGAGGUGAAAGGUUAACUGCCUAAAGAUGAGCUCGCGUCUGAUUAGCUAGUUGGCAGUGUAAUGGACUACCAAGGCGACGAUCAGUAGCUGGUCUGAGAGGACGAUCAGCCACACUGGGACUGAGACACGGCCCAGACUCCUACGGGAGGCAGCAGUGGGGAAUUUUCCGCAAUGGGCGAAAGCCUGACGGAGCAAUACCGCGUGAGGGAGGAAGGCUCUUGGGUCGUAAACCUCUUUUCUCAGGGAAGAACACAAUGACGGUACCUGAGGAAUAAGCAUCGGCUAACUCCGUGCCAGCAGCCGCGGUAAUACGGAGGAUGCAAGCGUUAUCCGGAAUGAUUGGGCGUAAAGCGUCCGCAGGUGGCAAUGUAAGUCUGCUGUUAAAGAGUCUAGCUCAACUAGAUAAGAGCAGUGGAAACUACAUAGCUAGAGUACGUUCGGGGCAGAGGGAAUUCCUGGUGUAGCGGUGAAAUGCGUAGAGAUCAGGAAGAACACCAGUGGCGAAGGCGCUCUGCUAGGCCGUAACUGACACUGAGGGACGAAAGCUAGGGGAGCGAAUGGGAUUAGAUACCCCAGUAGUC
rnacentral:rRNA from 1 species